rnacentral:rRNA from 1 species
UGCCUACGGGGGGCAGCAGUGGGGAAUAUUGCACAAUGGGGGAAACCCUGAUGCAGCGACGCCGCGUGAAGGAAGAAGUAUUUCGGUAUGUAAACUUCUAUCAGCAGGGAAGAAAAUGACGGUACCUGACUAAGAAGCCCCGGCUAACUACGUGCCAGCAGCCGCGGUAAUACGUAGGGGGCAAGCGUUAUCCGGAUUUACUGGGUGUAAAGGGAGCGUAGACGGUGCAGCAAGUCUGAUGUGAAAGGUCGGGGCCCAACCCCGGGACUGCAUUGGAAACUGUUGAACUGGAGUACAGGAGAGGG